GGGAAUGUGGCUUAGUGGUAGAGUGUUUGCCUCGCAUGCAUAAGCCCUGGGUUCAAUUCCUCAGUACCA
rnacentral:tRNA from 1 species